ACCGGACUAACUCCGUGCCAGCAGCCGCGGUAAUACGGAGGUGCGAGCUUAAGUCGGAAUUACGUGGGACGUAAAGCGACAUGCGAGGUUGGUUUAGUUAACGUCAAGAUGUAGAAACGGCCCGGGGCUACCAACCGUACGGUAAUUGCUAUUUAGAAACGUGGACAAACUAGAGUACUGUAGAGGGGGUAGAAUUUCAGGUGUAGCGGUGAAAUGCGUAGAGAUCUGAAGGAAUACCGGUGGCGAAGGCGGCCCCCUGGACAGAUACUGACACUCAGAUGCGAAAGCGUGGGGAGCAAACAGGAUUAGAAACCCUGGUAG
rnacentral:rRNA from 1 species